GCAAGUCGAGCGCGAAUGGGAGCAAUCCCUAGUAGAGCGGCGAACGGGUGCGUAACACGUGGGUAAUCUGCCUCAGAACCUGGAACAACCUGCCGAAAGGCUGGCUAAUACCGGAUAAGACCACGAGCUCCUCGGAGCUCGAGGUAAAAGGUGGCCUCUGUAUACAAGCUAUCAUUCUGAGAUGAGCCCGCGGCCCAUCAGCUAGUUGGCGAGGUAAAAGCUCACCAAGGCAACGACGGGUAGCUGGUCUGAGAGGACGAUCAGCCACACUGGAACUGAGACACGGUCCAGACUCCUACGGGAGGCAGCAGUGGGGAAUUUUGCACAAUGGGCGAAAGCCUGAUGCAGCAACGCCGCGUGUGUGAUGAAGGUCUUCGGAUUGUAAAGCACUUUCGACCGGGACGAAACACCCUGAACUAAUAUUUCAGGGCCUGACGGUACCGGGAGAAGAAGCACCGGCUAACUCUGUGCCAGCAGCCGCGGUAA
rnacentral:rRNA from 1 species